AUUGAACGCUGGCGGCAUGCCUUACACAUGCAAGUCGAACGGUAACAGGUCUUCGGAUGCUGACGAGUGGCGAACGGGUGAGUAAUACAUCGGAACGUGCCUAGUAGUGGGGGAUAACUACUCGAAAGAGUGGCUAAUACCGCAUGAGAUCUACGGAUGAAAGCAGGGGACCGCAAGACCUUGUGCUACUAGAGCGGCCGAUGGCAGAUUAGGUAGUUGGUGGGAUAAAAGCUUACCAAGCCGACGAUCUGUAGCUGGUCUGAGAGGACGAUAAGCAACACUGGGACUGAGACACGGCCCAGACUCCUACGGGAGGCAGCAGUGGGGAAUUUUGGACAAUGGGCGCAAGCCUGAUCCAGCAAUGCCGCGUGCAGGAUGAAGGCCUUCGGGUUGUAAACUGCUUUUGUACGGAACGAAAAGCCCUGGGUUAAUACCCUGGGGUCAUGACGGUACCGUAAGAAGAAGCACCGGCUAACUAUGUGCCAGCAGCCGCCGUAA
rnacentral:rRNA from 1 species